rnacentral:lncRNA from 13 species
CGUAUCGCGCAACACGAUCGAGUUCCCCGGAACGAUCGAUGGCGGAGGACUUUCAACCGCGCGUGAACGCACUAGCCGGCCUCCGGAGACUUUAGUGUACUUUUCGCCGAACGCGCGCGACGCCGCCGCCGUACGUGUAUGUGUACUUUGCAAUUAUGGCACUCGGACUGCAAAUAAAGCAACCUGCUCAGCGCCAGACGGAGCAAACGUGCUCCGAAUGGUAGAAUUAUCGCGGAAAUUACAAUCCCCGAGCUCUGAAUCGUGGAACGCAGACGAUUAGACGAUAAGUGAUUGAAGGGGGUAUUAUGCCGUGGUCUUACGAAACUCGAGUUGUACUUGAACCACUAUUUUGAAAUCUUCUAUACGAGUGCGAUCGAUUUAAUGCUUAUUACGAUUCGAGCAAUAUUAUCAUCUCGGUGAACGGAAGUAAUAAUCGAUCAGAAUAUUAAGGUCGACCUAUUUCAUCCAGCGUUUCCAUCUUGGCUCGUUACAGCGUAAUACACUCCGCUCGUAAUUAUAGGUCGUUCGCUUGAGUUUGUUUAGCGGUGUGCAAUUCAUUAGAACAAAUCUCUCGCUUCCUCCGCGUGGCCGAGAUAAAUCGCAUCUCUGCGCGUGCUAUAUCGUACACCAUGCUUAUUAUUAUCAGCAUGUGUGCGCGAAAUGCCAUUGCGCAAUAAUUAUGCGAUUCGACUUAAUACAACACCACGCGUACUCGCGUAGUUGUCGACGCCUCCCUGAUUAUAAAUCAAGGUAGCAUUUGUACAUGCGAAUGCAAAUAAAAAUUUAAAACUUGAGGAAAGAUUUGCAUAAGCGUACGUAACAUGUAAUAAAAAUCUCUGCGAGACAUGGGAAG